AUUCUUGGAUUUAUGAAAGAUUAACUUCUGCGAAAGCAUCUGCCAAGGAUGUUUUCAUUAAUCAAGAACGAAAGUUAGGGGAUCGAAGACGAUCAGAUACCGUCGUAGUCUUAACCAUAAACGAUGCCGACCAGCGAUUAGGAGACGUUGAAUACAAAACACCACCAUCGGUGCGGUCGUUCUUGGCGUCGGUUUCGGCCGGCGCGGGGGCGGCUUAGCCCGGUGGCACCGGUGAAUNACUCCCCUAGCAGCUUGUGAGAAAUCAUAAGUCUUUGGGUUCCGGGGGGAGUAUGGUCGCAAGGCUGAAACUUAAAGGAAUUGACGGAAGGGCACCACCAGGAGUGGAGCCUGCGGCU
rnacentral:rRNA from 1 species